CGCAGUAGUCAUAUGCUUGUUUCAAAGCUUAAGCCAUGCAAGUCUCAGUACAGACUAUAUUAAAGUGAAACCGCAAAAGGCUCAGUAAACCAGUUUUAAUUUACUAGAGUUAACUUGACUGUGCUUGGAUAACUGUGGUAAUUCUAGAGCUAAUACAUGCAACAAAGCCGUGACCAUUCGUGGUCAGGGCGCUUUUAUUAGACCAAGACCAAUCGCCCGGCCAGUCCGGGCGUUAAGUUGAGGAACCUAGAUAACACAGCAGAUCGCAUGGUCUUUGUACCGGCGACCUAUCUUUCAAAUGCCUGACUUAUCAACUGACGAUGGUAGACUCUGUGUCUACCAUGGCUGUUACGGGUAACGGGGAAUCAGGGUUCGAUUCCGGAGAGGGAGCCUGAGAAACGGCUACCACAUCCAAGGAAGGCAGCAGGCACGCAAAUUACCCACUCCCGGAACGGGGAGGUAGUGACAAAAAAUAACGAUACGGGACUCGAUAUGAGGCCUCGUAAUCGGAAUGAGUACACUCUAAAUCCUUUAACAAAAAUCUAUUGGAGGGCAAGUCUGGUGCCAGCAGCCGCGGUAAUUCCAGCUCCAAUAGCGUAUAUUAAAGUUGUUGCGGUUAAAAAGCUCGUAGUUGGUUCUGCGUCCCGCGCUGUCGGUACACCGUUUGUCGGUGACACUGGCAUGACGCGGGAUGUCCUGUCGGUGGCGGCGGAGACCAUAUCGCCGUCGGCUAACACCGCGGCGUGUUGGCCUUCUGUCGCCGGCUUUAUCCUACCGCGGUGCUCUUCACUGAGUGUCGAGGUAGGCCGACACGUUUACUUUGAACAAAUUAGAGUGCUUAAAGCAGGCAAAAAUCUCUGCCAGAAUAGUGGUGCAUGGAAUAAUGGAACAGGACCUUGGUUCUAUUCUGUUGGUCUCCGGAACACAAGGUAAUGAUCAAUGUGGGACAGGCGGGGGGCAUUCGUAUUGCGGCGUUAGAGGUGAAAUUCUUGGGUCGUCGCAAGACGCACUAGAGCGAAAGCAAUUGCCAAGUAUGUCUUAAUUGAUCAAGAACGAAAGUUAGAGGUUCGAAGGCGAUCAGA
rnacentral:rRNA from 1 species